rnacentral:rRNA from 1 species
CAAGCGGUGGAUGAUGUGGUUUAAUUCGAUGCAACGCGAAAAACCUUACCUACCCUUGACAUGCCAGGAAUCCUGAAGAGAUUUGGGAGUGCUCGAAAGAGAGCCUGGACACAGGUGCUGCAUGGCCGUCGUCAGCUCGUGUCGUGAGAUGUUGGGUUAAGUCCCGCAACGAGCGCAACCCUUGUCAUUAGUUGCUACGAAAGGGCACUCUAAUGAGACUGCCGGUGACAAACCGGAGGAAGGUGGGGAUGACGUCAGGUCAUCAUGGCCCUUAUGGGUAGGGCUACACACGUCAUACAAUGGCCGGGACAGAGGGCUGCCAACCCGCGAGGGGGAGCUAAUCCCAGAAACCCGGUCGUAGUCCGGAUCGUAGUCUGCAACUCGACUGCGUGAAGUCGGAAUCGCUAGUAAUCGCGGAUCAGCUUGCCGCGGUGAAUACGUUCCCGGGUCUUGUACACACCGCCCGUCACACCAUGGGAGCGGGUUCUGCCAGAAGUAGUUAGCCUAACCGCAAGGAGGGCG